UACGGAGGGUGCAAGCGUUAUCCGGAUUCACUGGGUUUAAAGGGUGUGUAGGCGGACUUUUAAGUCAGCGGUGAAAUCUCCGGGCUCAACCCGGAAACUGCCAUUGAUACUAUUAGUCUUGAAUGUUGUUGAGGUGGGCGGAACGGGUCAUGUAGCGGUGAAAUGCAUAGAUAUGACCCGGAACACCGAUUGCGAAGGCAGCCCACUAAGCAACUAUUGACGCUGAGGCACGAAAGCGUGGGGAUCAAACAGG
rnacentral:rRNA from 1 species